CGAUGGCUUCUGAGCACAAAUUCUGGAGACUUCCAUGAUGCCAGGGGUGGAGAGGUGCAAGAGAAUGGGGAGGAAUGCUGCUUGGUGCACCCCGGGACGAGUGUCAGCCCUUUGCUCCCUUCUCCUCCACCUGCACGGGCUUCGGGGGGACUAGAAGUUUGGGCCCCAUGUGGCCUCCUGCCUUAGGCUGUGCUGUCACUAACUUCUCUGAGCAGGAGAGCCAGGUGAGACACUGUCGGAGAGCUGUGGCUGUUCAGUGGGAAAAGUGGGAAGCUCAGCUCCCUGCCAGCCAGCUGCCUGGAAAAGUUUGCCAACUCCUGGUCCAGACCAUUGGAAACUGAGUCUAGCUGCUGACAUCACAUUCUAUGGAUACCUGCCUCCUUGUCCAUUUGCCAGGGCCUGCUCUGUUUCUCAAGAACUCCGUGGUGGAUGUUCUAGGACACAGCUGGAGACAGCGUCACAGGUGGAUUAAGAAGUUAC